rnacentral:lncRNA from 1 species
GCUCACUCUGGUCUGGCCCAGUGACGUUACUCUCAUCAGUCACCCCAAAUGAAACAGCGCUGAAGUCCCUAGAUGGAGUUCUACUGGAGGAAGAAUGGAACUCUGACGACCUGGAAACAUUGACUUGGGCCAGACAGUUCGAACCAGUGCUUCUGGAGACGGCAUUCUACUGAGGCCCUGCCAGUGACCUUGGUCAGGGAUCUGCCCCUUCCUGAUUCCAGCCUAUUCAGUGCAGAGUGAAUGGGUUGGACCAGUCAUCUGGAAGGUCCAGGGUGACCUUGGGUGGGAGUUCAAGAGGACCCUGCAGCACCUCCUCCCCUUUGUCUGGGCUGGUGUGUGGUGAGGUGCUGGCUGUCCCUGAGCUCCAGGCUGUGGUGGGGGCUGCCGUGCCCUGGGAUGAAUGGAUUCACGGAUCUCGAGGAAGCUGAUGCCCCUCUUUGGAGGCACAGGAGAGUGAGUGGAGCGAGAUUUAUAGCAAGGUCUUCCUCAGGAGGAAUGAAACACGACCUGGAGAGCCCGCCUGCUGGCAAUAAGGCAGCUGAGGUGCCUGCGUGGUCAAUGUCCGCAAGGUCAUGGUCAUUUGGUGACCUUCGCGGUGCUCAGUCCCUUCCUUCUCCGGAAUCAGCUCUGAGCCUCCUGGACGCACGCCUGUCUUUCUUCCAUCUCAUUCAUCACAGGAACAACCACAGUCGUCACCUGCAAGCACUGAAUGUUGACCACAGACUGCUAAUCCAUCCAAAAUGUUCUCUGUCACCACUAUCCUGCAAGAAUCCCAGGGGAAAUGAAGCCUGGAAGAAUCGUUAACUCCGCAGACCAGAGAAGCCAAGCCAGAACCAGAGUUGGCACGGGCUCCUGCAGCUAGAGGAGGGCUUCCGUGACUGAGAAUGGCCCUGGGGGAGUGGACACGCUGACGGGGGCAAAACCAAGGCUGGUGGCCUUUUGCAACUCAGAGAUGUGCUUCUUUAUGCAAUGUUUACUUAAAACAAAAAAUAACUGCAAACAUUUAAAAAUCAGUGCUUUUUCUUUUUCUUCCCUCUUUCUCAUACACACACACACACACGCAGAGUGUAGGUAUCAGGCUUCUCCUGAAGGCUCAGAAGACCAGGCGAUUCCGGGCAGUCACUGGCGAGGGCUGAGAGCAACUGGCCUUUGUGGGGCCUGAGUCCCACAGCCCCCCUUGCUGUCCUUUACGCUUGGCUCACUUCCCUCCCUGAUCGUACCUGCUGGCCCCUCUAACGCACUGGGUUCGGGAUCUCGGACUCUCAGGCGUUAAUGCUGCCUUUUUCAUUUGGGGCUUUUCUCAGAUAGGACUCUCAAGCUGACAGCCUGGGUAAGACUCAAGAGGCUGUGAAUCUGGAUGCAGCUUUAAGCCUAUAUUCUUGGCAUUUUUACUAUCUGGGGACUUGCUGAGCCUAGAGAGACUGCCUCUCCCAGGGCUCAUCCCCAGAGAUGAUAUCGAGCCUGUGAGUACAUCUUUCAAUCUAAAACCCAUACCCCCAGCCACCUCUUUAUACUCUGGGCCACUCUUCCCAUUCCCACGCCUUGGUUUCUCUGGGGCCAGGUCCCGGGUGACACGAGAGACAGCUCCUACACCUCAGAGCCACUGGAAUGAUUCAAACUGGCCAAUCAUAAGCCCACGUGUCCUGCCUCACUGCUUCCUUCCACGGAAGCCACAGAAAGGCUCUUCCCACCUUUCAUCCUGCUCCCUCGGCCUCCUGACUGGCCCCAGCGCGACCCCUCCUCUUGAGAGCUGUACAAACCUACCCCAACCAGUGGCAGUCAUCUCUUCAACUUUGGAUAUAGAAUUAUUUCUGCCUGCCAGCUUCUCUCCAGAAAUGUGCUUUUCCUUGUUCUUCUCUCGAUCCAGGAACCCCAUUCCUGGGGGCACCUGGGUGGCUCAGUCAGUUAAGCAUCCGACUUUGGCUCAGGUCAUGAUCUGAUGGUUUGUGAGUUCGGGCCCUGCAUCAGGCUCUGUGAUGACAGCUCAGAUUUGGGUUCUGUGUCUCCCUCUCUCUCUGCC